UCUGCUUGACCCGUCUUGUAACACGGACCAAGGAGUCUAACAGAUGUGCGAGUUCAUGGGUGGUAAACCUUUUUGCGCAAUGAAGGUAAUUGCUGGGAUAUUUGCACCAGCAGCCAACCAAUCAAUUGUGAGAGGUUUGAGUUUGAGCUUACCUGUUAGGACCCGAAAGAUGGUGAACUAUGCCUGAGAAGGGUAAAUUCAGGGGAAACUCUGAUGGAGGCUCGUAGCGAUACUGACGUGCAAAUCGUUCGUCAUACUUGGGUAUAGGGGCGAAAGACUAAUCGAACCAUCUAGUAGCUGGUUCCCUCCGAAGUUUCCCACAGGAUAGCUGGAGUUGCACAGUUUUAUCAGGUAAAGCGAAUGAUUAGAGGAAUUGGGGAUGUGUUGUCCUUGACCUAUUCUCAAACUUUAAAUGGGUAAGAUGCAGUGGUUUCUUUUUUGAACUUCUGGGAUAAAUGGCAAUUUCAAGUGGGCCAUUUUUGGUAAGCAGAACUGGCGAUGAGGGAUGAACCUAACGCUGGGUUAAGGUGCUUAACUGCUUGCUCAUCAGAUACCAUAAAGGGUGUUGGUUCAUUUGAACAGCAGGACGGUGGUCAUGGAAGUC
rnacentral:rRNA from 15 species